GGGGCAUAAGCCUAGGCCCCACCCAGUGCCCGACUAUGAGCUAAGGAGGCCCAAGUUGCAGCCCGGGUUUGGAGGGAGUUUGAGAUGAAGCGAAUGGUGAGUCUUGCAUCCCACAGCUUGGUCUUGCACCCCUGAGACUUUUCUGUGAGGCUGGGGUGCCUGUGCCCAGUUUCUUUUUUUUUCUUUGUUUUGAGACAGAAUCUCGCUCUGUCACCCAGGCGGGAGUGCAGUGGUAUGAUCUCAGCUCACUGCAACCUCAGCCUCCCGGGUUCCAGCGGUUCUCCUGCCUCAGCUGGGAUCACAGGUGCCCACCAUCGUGCCUGGCAAAUUUUUGUAUUUGUAGUAGAGAUGGGGUUUCACCAUGUUGGCCAGGCUGGUCUCGAACUCCUUACCUCAAGUGAUCUGCCCACCUCGGCCUCCCAGACUGCUGGGAUUACAGGCAUGAGCUACCUUGCCCGGCUCACCCGGUCGCCUGUGCCCAGUUUCAAGGAGAGAAAAUUGAGGCUCGGAGAAUGAAAGGCAGAGAGUUAAGCAGCUUGAAGGCCACAGGGCAGACUGCUGCAAAGACUUCUGGGUCUCGCCCUGCCUAGGAUCCUGGCUUCCUGGACAAGCAGGCUCGCUGCCACUACCUGAAGGGUAAACUGAGGCAUCUCAAGACUCAGAUCCAGAAAUUCGAUGACCAAGGAGACAGCGAGGGCUCCGUGUACUUCUAAGUGCCCCUGCAGAUGGGC
rnacentral:sRNA from 1 species